rnacentral:rRNA from 1 species
AUACGUAGGGGGCGAGCGUUGUCCGGAAUGAUUGGGCGUAAAGGGCGCGUAGGCGGCCCGGUAAGUCUGGAGUGAAAGUCCUGUUUUUAAGAUGGGAAUUGCUUUGGAUACUGUCGGGCUUGAGUGCAGGAGAGGUAAGUGGAAUUCCCAGUCUAGCGGUGAAAUGCGUAGAGAUUGGGAGGAACACCAGUGGCGAAGGCGACUUACUGGACUGUAACUGACGCUGAGGCGCGAAAGUGUGGGGAGCAAACAGGAUUAGAUACCCUGGUAGUCCACGCGGUAAACGAUGAUUACUAGGUGUUGGCACGCAUAGCGUGUCGGUGCCGCAGCAAACGCAAUAAGUGAUCCACCUGGGGAGUACGUUCGCAAGAAUGAAACUCAAAGGAAUUGGCGGGG